AGAACUCAGUUCUAAGAAUUUAGUACAGGAUUCCAUUCACUGGAACUGUCAGACUUUCUUUAUGCCCUCUACUAUUUAGACACCGAUCCAAGUACUGGGGUAUAUUUAAAGGAUAAAGAUUCUAUUUAGCAAAAAUAACCACUCCUCGAAAAAUAGAGUAACUAAAACUCCAACAAAAAUAAUCCACAUGGUAAAUUGUUACCUUAGCAAGUAAAGACACUCCAGUAGGAAAGAGCUCACCUAGUGCCCAGACACUUGUCUCUACUACCAUUCUCCUUAAAGGAAUCAGGGCUCUCGAGAAAUGGGCGAUUCCAAAGGUGAGGCAGGGGAGAGAUUCAAAAGGAUCCUAGAAUAUCUUAUUGUGUCAGAAAAUAAGAAAGUGCUCCAAAAAAUGACGGAAGCGUGUCACAAGGACAUAGCAGCCGCUGUGAAGGAGUUUCCGCUGUCCAAAGCUGGGACAACCUGAACACCAAAAUCAGUACAUGAGUGAAUUAUAAACUGUAAAAAACAAGAAAUCAUGAGUCUACACCAAUAAUUAAUAAACAAAUAAAUAUAGGAAAAUAAGAGCUCAUUCUUAUAGCAGAAUACUAAGUGCCAACUGGUAAAUGUGGACCAAGUACUGAAGUUGAGAAGUUAUCAUUUUGCAACUAUAAGAGUAAAGACUGAAUCAGACAAGAACCAUUAAUGGCUACUAAGUUUAGGGAGAAAUUUUGAUGAGGAGCAGGAUAUUUGCAGUCUUAAAAUGUCUCCUCAAAAACUGUUGAUUACUGCAAGCAGAAUUAUACAGUGGGAAAACCAGGCAAAAUUGUGACUAAGUAAUAAAAAUUAACAGUGCCAUAAAGGACAGGUAGACGAAUUGUGCCUCUACAUGUGAUACUCUGAGAAGGACAUACCACCUAUGAAGUAUGGCUGCCAGCUAAGAAUCCAUAACUUCAAUCUAAUCAUGACAAAACAUCAGACAAAUCCAAAAUUAGUGUUUUAAAAAGACGAGGUCGGGGGGAUACUCUUCAAAAAUAUACAUGUCAUAAAGGGCUAAAAAAAGCUACGGAAAUGUUCCAGAUUAAAACAAACUACAGAGACAAGACAAUUAAGUACAUGACCCAAGAUCAGAUCCUAUACUGGAAGGGAAAAAUGAUACUGUAGACAUUAUUAGGUCAUCUGACAAAAUUGGAAUAUGAAUGGAAAAUUAGAUGAAAUUGUUCUAUCAAAGUUAAAUUUACUAAAGCCAGUAACUGUUCUGGCCGGGCACAGUGACUCACGCCUAUAAUCCCAGCACUUUGGGAGGCAAGGCAGGAGGAUCACUUGAGUUCAGGAGUUCAGGAGUUCAAGACCAGCCUGGGCAACAUAGCAACCUCAUCUCUACAAAACAUUUAAAAAUUAGCUGAGCUUGCUGGUACGUGCUUGUAGUUCCAGCUACUCAGAAGGCUGACGCAGGAGGAUAAAGCCCAGGAAUUCAAGGUGGCAGUGAGCUAUGAUCACCACACUGCACUCCAGCCUGGGCAACACAGCGAGAUCCUAUCUUUAGGAAAAAAAUAGAAAUAAAAAAAAAAA
ensembl:lncRNA novel transcript, antisense to NDUFAF6